CACCGCCUGGGGAGUACGACCGCAAGGUUAAAACUCAAAUGAAUUGACGGGGACCCGCACAAGUAGUGGAGCAUGUGGUUUAAUUCGAAGAUACGCGCAGAACCUUACCAACACUUGACAUGUUCGUCGCGACUCUAAGAGAUUAGAGUUUUCGGUUCGGCCGGACGAAACACAGGUGCUGCAUGGCUGUCGUCAGCUCGUGUCGUGAGAUGUUGGGUUAAGUCCCGCAACGAGCGCAACCCUCACUUUUAGUUGCCAUCAUUAAGUUGGGCACUCUGAAAGAACUGCCAGUGAUAAGCUGGAGGAAGGUGGGGAUGACGUCAAGUCCUCAUGGCCCUUACGUGUUGGGCUACACACGUGCUACAAUGGUAUCUACAACAGGAAGCAAGACUGCGAAGUUAAGCAAAUCCUUAAAAGAUACCUCAGUUCGGAUUGCACUCUGCAACUCGAGUGCAUGAAGCUGGAAUUACUAGUAAUCGUGGAUCAGCGUGCCACGGUGAAUGCGUUCCCGGGUCUUGUACACACCGCCCGUCACACCAUGGGAGUUGGUUCUACCUUAAGGCAAGGUUUAAUACCCUUGACCACGGUAUAGUCAGCGACUGGGGUGAAGUCGUAACAAGGUAGCCGUAGGGGAACCUGCGGCUGGAUUACCUCCUUUCUAAGGAUGAAUGAAAUUAAUAUUUCAUUCUAAAUAAUAAACAGGUUAAUGUUGACCGUCCUCAUUUCUCUUCUUAAGUUUAGUGUUUCUCUUGCAUGGGGGCCGGUAGCUCAGUUGGUUAGAGCACACCCUUGAUAGGGGUGGGGUCGAAAGUUCGAGUCUUUCUCGGCCCACCAUUAUUUUUUAUCAAAAGGGGGAUUAGCUCAGCUGGGAGAGCGCCUGAUUUGCAUUCAGGAGGUCAGCGGUUCGAUCCCGCUAUCCUCCACCAAAAAACACUUAGUUAUGUAAAAUUGUGAAUAAAUAAUAAUUAAUAUCAAUAUCUAUAUCCGAAUAUUAGUUAGAUAUUAACUAAUAUUCAAAAAAAUUUGAUUCAACACAGAAUUUUUUUCUG
rnacentral:sRNA from 1 species